rnacentral:rRNA from 1 species
AGUGAACGCUGGCGGUAGGCCUAACACAUGCAAGUCGAACGGCAGCACAGUAAGAGCUUGCUCUUACGGGUGGCGAGUGGCGGACGGGUGAGGAAUACAUCGGAAUCUACUUUUUCGUGGGGGAUAACGUAGGGAAACUUACGCUAAUACCGCAUACGACCUACGGGUGAAAGCAGGGGAUCUUCGGACCUUGCGCGAUUGAAUGAGCCGAUGUCGGAUUAGCUAGUUGGCGGGGUAAAGGCCCACCAAGGCGACGAUCCGUAGCUGGUCUGAGAGGAUGAUCAGCACAACGGGAACUGGGACACGGUCCAGACUCCUACGGGAGGCAGAAGUGGGGAAUAUUGGAAAAGGGGCGCAAGCCUGAUCCAGCCAUACCGGGGGGGUGAAGAAGGCCUUCGGGUUGUAAAGCCCUUUUUUUGGGAAAGAAAAGCAGCAGGUUAAUCCCCCGCUGUUCGGACGGUACCCAAAGAAUAAGCACCGGCUAACUUCGU